ACGGGUGAGUAACGCGUGGGUAACGUACCCUAGGGUUGAGGAUAACCCACCGAAAGGUGGGCUAAUACUGAAUGUGUUCUUGGAAGGUGCGCCUACCAAGAAGAAAGCGGGGCAACCCGCGCCCUAGGAUCGGCCCGCGUUCCAUCAGCUUGUUGGUGGGGUAACGGCCUACCAAGGCUACGACGGAUAGCUGGUCUGAGAGGAUGAUCAGCCACACUGGGACUGAGACACGGCCCAGACUCCUACGGGAGGCAGCAGUGGGGAAUAUUGGUCAAUGGGCGAAAGCCUGAACCAGCAAUGCCGCGUGAGUGAUGAAGGCCCUCGGGUUGUAAAGCUCUGUCAGUGGGAACGAAUAAACCGAUUAAUACUCGGCGAUGACGGUACCCACAAAGGAAGCACCGGCUAACUCUGUGCCAGCAGCCGCGGUAAUACAGAGGGUGCAAGCGUUGUUCGGAAUUACUGGGCGUAAAGCGCGUGUAGGCGGUCUCGCAAGUCGGGUGUGAAAGCCCUUGGCUCAACCAAGGAACUGCAUUCGAAACUACGAGACUAGAGUAUCGGAGGGGGUGGCGGAAUUCCCGGUGUA
rnacentral:rRNA from 1 species